AGAGUUUGAUCCUGGCUCAGGACGAACGCUGGCGGCGCGCCUAACACAUGCAAGUCGAACGGAGCUUAGAGAGCUUGCUUUUUAAGCUUAGUGGCGAACGGGUGAGUAACGCGUGAGUAACCUGCCCUAGAGUGGGGGACAACAGUUGGAAACGACUGCUAAUACCGCAUAAGCCCACGGUACCGCAUGAUACUGAGGGAAAAGGAUUUAUUCGCUUUAGGAUGGACUCGCGUCCAAUUAGCUAGUUGGUGAGGUAACGGCCCACCAAGGCGACGAUUGGUAGCCGGACUGAGAGGUUGAACGGCCACAUUGGGACUGAGACACGGCCCAGACUCCUACGGGAGGCAGCAGUGGGGGAUAUUGCACAAUGGGGGAAACCCUGAUGCAGCGACGCCGCGUGGAGGAAGAAGGUCUUCGGAUUGUAAACUCCUGUUGUUGAGGAAGAUAAUGACGGUACUCAACAAGGAAGUGACGGCUAACUACGUGCCAGCAGCCGCGGUAAAACGUAGGUCACAAGCGUUGUCCGGAAUUACUGGGUGUAAAGGGAGCGCAGGCGGGAAGACAAGUUGGAAGUGAAAUCCAUGGGCUCAACCCAUGAACUGCUUUCAAAACUGUUUUUCUUGAGUAGUGCAGAGGUAGGCGGAAUUCCCGGUGUAGCGGUGGAAUGCGUAGAUAUCGGGAGGAACACCAGUGGCGAAGGCGACCUACUGGGCACCAACUGACGCUGAGGCUCGAAAGCAUGGGUAGCAAACAGGAUUAGAUACCCUGGUAGUCCAUGCCGUAAACGAUGAUUACUAGGUGU
rnacentral:rRNA from 1 species